rnacentral:sRNA from 1 species
CGAACGUGUGCGCGGUGAGGUUCGGGGACAUUGGGGAUCAGGGUGCGCUGCCUUUGGAGUGAUGCUCGCGGGAGCGGCUGCGAGGGAAGGGUGCGGGAGUCCGAGGGGGUUGUUAGCAACAGCUAGCUUUAUUGAGUGGAUUCCUGUCUGACUAAAGGGACCUCAAAAAGGAGGGAAAAUGGCUUCUGAGUCUGAAACUCUGAAUCCCAGUGCUAGGAUAAUGACCUUUUAUCCAACUAUGGAAGAGUUCCGAAACUUCAGUAGAUACAUUGCCUACAUUGAAUCCCAAGGAGCUCAUCGGGCAGGGCUAGCCAAGGUUGUUCCUCCAAAAGAGUGGAAGCCACGAGCAUCCUAUGAUGACAUUGAUGAUUUGGUCAUUCCUGCCCCCAUUCAACAGCUGGUGACGGGGCAGUCUGGCCUCUUUACUCAGUACAACAUACAGAAGAAAGCCAUGACUGUUCGAGAGUUCCGCAAGAUAGCCAAUAGUGAUAAGUACUGUACCCCACGCUAUAGUGAGUUUGAAGAGCUUGAGCGGAAAUACUGGAAAAAUCUUACAUUCAAUCCUCCAAUCUAUGGUGCAGAUGUGAAUGGUACCCUCUAUGAAAAGCAUGUUGAUGAGUGGAAUAUUGGCCGGCUGAGAACAAUCCUGGACUUGGUGGAAAAGGAGAGUGGGAUCACCAUUGAGGGUGUGAACACCCCAUACCUGUACUUUGGCAUGUGGAAGACAUCCUUUGCUUGGCACACUGAAGACAUGGACCUCUACAGCAUCAACUACCUGCACUUUGGAGAACCAAAGUCCUGGUACUCUGUUCCACCUGAGCAUGGAAAACGGUUGGAACGCCUCGCCAAAGGCUUUUUCCCAGGAAGUGCUCAAAGCUGUGAGGCAUUUCUCCGCCACAAGAUGACCCUGAUUUCCCCGUUAAUGCUGAAGAAAUAUGGAAUUCCCUUUGACAAGGUGACUCAAGAGGCUGGAGAGUUUAUGAUCACUUUCCCUUAUGGUUACCAUGCCGGCUUUAACCAUGG